rnacentral:rRNA from 1 species
GAUGAACGCUGGCGGAAUGCUUUACACAUGCAAGUCGAACGGCAGCACGGACUUCGGUCUGGUGGCGAGUGGCGAACGGGUGAGUAAUGUAUCGGAACGUGCCCAGUCGUGGGGGAUAACGUAGUGAAAAUUACGCUAAUACCGCAUACGAUCUAUGGAUGAAAGCGGGGGAUCGCAAGACCUCGCGCGAUUGGAGCGGCCGAUAUCAGAUUAGGUAGUUGGUGGGGUAAAGGCCCACCAAGCCAACGAUCUGUAGCUGGUCUGAGAGGACGAACAGCCACACUGGAACUGAGACACGGUCCAGGGUCCUACGGGAGGCAGCAGUGGGGAAUUUUGGACAAUGGGCGAAAGCCUGAUCCAGCCAUUCCGCGUGCAGGAUGAAGGCCCUCGGGUUGUAAACUGCUUUUGUACAGAACGAAAAGGUUUCUACUAAUACUAGGAGCUCAUGACGGUACUGUAAGAAUAAGCACCGGCUAACUACGUGCCAGCAGCCGCCGUAA